rnacentral:lncRNA from 13 species
CAUUGUCUCUACUGGCUGGAAGGGCACUCAAGCCAGAGGUGACAUUGUCUGUGGUGUGAUUUAUCCCCAAGUCACCAGCGGGGCUGGAUUUGAGUCAGACCACCUGUGUCUGGUGCUAUCUCUUCCCACUUGGGAGAGGUGUUUGGCCUGUCUCAGGGUCCUCGUCUGUGAAAUGGGCUCUGACUCCUGCCUUGUGGUGUGAUGUGAGGUUUGGGUCCAGUGCUGACACAAGCUGGUGCCUGGCACUGGCUUCACAGCUGAAUGCUUUGUAACUAUCGUUAGGAAAAAAGGACAACAUGAGGGAGUUGUGGUAGAUGCCAGACACUGAGCAGAGUUCAGCGCUGGCCCUUCAGCACCUGCCAUGACAGCACAGACUCAUCGGACUGUCAAUUACCUACAGGUGGAGCAUCCUUCUGUCUCAGUGGACGAAACACCGGAAAGCUGUAAAAUGAGGUGCUCUGCUAUCCGUGGAAACUUAUCACCAAGGUAAGGAGAAAACCUAGUGACUCCAGGUUCACCUCCCCCACUGGUGACUCCAGGUUCACAUCCUGCACCAGAGACACCAGGUUCAUUUUCCCCACUGGUGACUCCAGGUCUGCUUUCUCUCUGGAGACACCAGGCUUACCUUCCUGACCAGUGACACCAGGUCCACCUUCCCCACCAGUGACUCCAGGUCCACCUUCCCCACCAGUGACUCCGGGUCCACUUUCUGCAUCAGACACACCAGGAUCACCUUCCC